rnacentral:rRNA from 1 species
AAGAGACAGCAGUAGCCGCGGGAAUACAGAGGCCUCAAGCGUUGUUCGGAUUCAUUGGGCGUAAAGGGUGCGUAGGUGGCUUGGUAAGUUGAAGGUGAAAUCUCGGGGCUUAACCCCGAAACUGCCUUCAAUACUGCUAGGCUCGAGGACUGUAGAGGAGAAUGGAAUUCACGGUGUAGCAGUGAAAUGCGUAGAUAUCGUGAGGAAGACCAGUGGCGAAGGCGAUUCUCUGGGCAGUUCCUGACACUGAGGCACGAAGGCCAGGGGAGCAAACGGGAUUAGAUACCCGAGUAGUCCCUGUCUCUUAUAC